UAGAAGAACAAGCUCGGAUCCUAGUAGUGCCAAAGUGCUCAUAGUGCAGGUAGUUUUUAUACCACUCUACUGCAGUGUGAGCACUUCUAGUACUCCUGGAUCAACCAAGGUCUUGUUGAAG
rnacentral:pre_miRNA from 7 species